rnacentral:rRNA from 1 species
AGUGAACGCUGGCGGUAGGCCUAACACAUGCAAGUCGAACGGCAGCACAGUAAGAGCUUGCUCUUACGGGUGGCGAGUGGCGGACGGGUGAGGAAUACAUCGGAAUCUACUUUUUCGUGGGGGAUAACGUAGGGGAAACUUACGCUAAUACCGCAUACGACCUACGGGUGAAAGCAGGGGAUCUUCGGACCUUGCGCGAUUGAAUGAGCCGAUGUCGGAUUAGCUAGUUGGCGGGGUAAAGGCCCACCAAGGCGACGAUCCGUAGCUGGUCUGAGAGGAUGAUCAGCCACACUGGAACUGAGACACGGUCCAGACUCCUACGGGAGGCAGCAGUGGGGAAUAUUGGACAAUGGGCGCAAGCCUGAUCCGGCCAUACCGCGUGGGUGAAGAAGGCCUUCGGGUUGUAAAGCCCUUUUGUUGGGAAAGAAAAGCAGCAGGUUAAUACCCCGCUGUUCUGACGGUACCCAAAGAAUAAGCACCGGCUAACUUCGUG